ACGGGAGGCAGCAGUAGGGAAUAUUGCACAAUGGGGGAAACCCUGAUGCAGCAACGCCACGUGUGGGAAGAAGCAUUUCGGUGUGUAAACCACUGUCGUGAGGGAAUAAUGCUUGGUUUCGGCCAAGUUGAAUGUACCUCGAAAGGAAGCACCGGCAAACUUCGUGCCAGCAGCCGCGGUAAUACGAGGGGUGCAAGCGUUGUUCGGAAUCACUGGGCGUAAAGGGAGCGCAGGCGGAGAUGCAGGCGGACUGUACAAUACCGGGGCCCAACCCCGGACCUGCAGUCCGGACUGCACCUCUUGGAUAGUUCAGGGGCAGGCGGAAUUCCUGGUGUAGCGGUGGAAUGCGUAGAGAUCAGGAAGAACACCGAUGGCGAAGGCAGCCUGCUGGGGACUCAUCGACGCUGAGGCUCGAAAGUGCGGGUAGCAAACAGGAUUAGAUACCCUGGUA
rnacentral:rRNA from 1 species